AGAUAACAAGGAAUUGCUUAGAAUCCUCUUAAGCUUCUAUAGUUUUCCUAGUGUUAUGGAAAUAAAUUCUUGAACUAUGUACAAUCACACUAAAGUAAAAAAUAGAAAGAAAAGAACAUAAGAUUUUUACGGAGUUCAACAGUGUGCCUACAUUCACGAGUAAGACCGACAAGAAAGUAUUUCACUAUGAUCAAAUGAGAGUACAUCAUU
rnacentral:lncRNA from 1 species